CACCGCCAAUACAGAUUAAUCUCUACAACAAUACACUUUAGUACCCACCAAUACAGAUUAAUCUCUACAACAAUACACUUUAGUACACCCGAAUACAGAUUAAUCUCUACAAAUACCACUUUAGUACAACCCCAAUACAGAGUUAAUCUCUACAACAUACACUUUAGUACACCCGAUACAGAUUAAUCUCUUCAACAAUACACUUUAGUACACCACCAAUACAGAUUAAUCUCUACAAAAAUACA
rnacentral:lncRNA from 1 species